rnacentral:rRNA from 1 species
GACGAACGUUGGCGGCGUGGAUUAGGCAUGCAAGUCGAGCGAGAUCCGUAGCAAUACGGUGAAAGCGGCGUAAGGGACAGGAAUACGUAGACUACCUACCCUCAGGUUCAGGAUAGCCCGCCGAAAGGCGGGGUAAUACUGGAUGAUGUCUCCGGAUCAAAGGUGUGAUUCCGCCGGAGGAUGGGUCUACGUCCUAUUAGCUAGUUGGCGGGGUAACGGCCCACCAAGGCAAUGAUGGGUAGCAGGUGUGAGAGCACGACCUGCGUCACUGGGACUGGGACACUGCCCAGACACCUACGGGUGGCUGCAGUCGAGGAUCUUCGGCAAUGGGCGCAAGCCUGACCGAGCGACGCCGCGUGCGGGAUGAAGGCCUUCGGGUUGUAAACCGCUGUCAGUGGGGAGGAAAUGCAGGUGGGUUCUCCCAUCUGUUUGACCUAUCCGCAGAGGAAGGAUGGGCUAAGUUCGUGCCAGCCGCCGCCGUAA